rnacentral:rRNA from 1 species
CCUACGGGAGGCAGCAGUGGGGAAUUUUCCGCAAUGGGCGAAAGCCUGACGGAGCAACGCCGCGUGAGGGAUGAAGGCCUCUGGGCUGUAAACCUCUUUUAUCAAGGAAGAAGAUCUGACGGUACUUGAUGAAUAAGCCACGGCUAAUUCCGUGCCAGCAGCCGCGGUAAUACGGGAGUGGCAAGCGUUAUCCGGAAUUAUUGGGCGUAAAGCGUCCGCAGGCGGUCUUGUAAGUCUGUCGUUAAAGCGUGGAGCUCAACUCCAUUUCGGCGGUGGAAACUACAAGACUAGAGUGUGGUAGGGGCAGAGGGAAUUCCCGGUGUAGCGGUGAAAUGCGUAGAUAUCGGGAAGAACACCAGUGGCGAAGGCGCUCUGCUGGGCCAUAACUGACGCUCAUGGACGAAAGCUAGGGGAGCGAAAGGGGAUUAGAUACCCCUGUAGUCCUAGCCGUAAACGAUGAACACUAGGUGUCGGGGGAAUCGACCCCCUCGGUGUCGUAGCUAACGCGUUAAGUGUUCCGCCUGGGAGUCGNACGCAGUGUGAACUUAAAGGAAUUGACGGCGNGNGAGUGCGAGNGACGACGAGGAGAGG